UUACCAAAGUCUAGCAGCUGCAUCUGGUGAAGUUUAUUCGUUAGUGUGCUUGGUAAAAUUACGGUGCAUUCGAAUGUCCUGAAAGCAAGAUAGCAUAGGUCCUUUAACUGUCUCAUGGAUUCUGGUACCAGGAACUUCUCCAUCAUAGUUUGGAAGAUGUUCCCGGCUGAAAGCAACAGCCAAUACCCAUAGUUUACGUAGCCUCUUGCAUAUACUCUCCAUGACUUUUGCCUCAACUGAUGUAUCCCUUUCAACAACAUAUAUUAUGAGGGUGUGUAAAUUUUCCAAUCCAAGGAUCUUUUUGGUAAUCAAUUCUCCAUCAUAACGCUCUACAAGAAGAUGGCAGACGUCUUGGGGAACAUCUCCUUUCCAUCCUUCUCCUCUCUGACUCCUUGCAUUCUCGAUUCUGAAGCAGUCCGUUCCACUAAUCUUGUCUAAUAAAUCAUGCAACAGGUCAGGAAUUGUAAACCAAGUAUCAUGCCAUUCUCCUCCUUGCUGAAGAAA
rnacentral:rRNA from 1 species